rnacentral:rRNA from 1 species
UGAGGAAUAUUGGUCAAUGGGUGCAAGCCUGAACCAGCCAUCCCGCGUGAAGGACGACUGCCCUAUGGGUUGUAAACUUCUUUUGUAUAGGGAUAAACCACCCUCGUGAGGGUAGCUGAAGGUACUAUACGAAUAAGCACCGGCUAACUCCGUGCCAGCAGCCGCGGUAAUACGGAGGGUGCAAGCGUUAUCCGGAUUUAUUGGGUUUAAAGGGUCCGUAGGCGGACUUAUAAGUCAGUGGUGAAAGCCUGUCGCUUAACGAUAGAACUGCCAUUGAUACUGUAAGUCUUGAGUAUAUUUGAGNUAGCUGGAAUAAGUAGUGUAGCGGUGAAAUGCAUAGAUAUUACUUAGAACACCAAUUGCGAAGGCAGGUUACCAAGAUAUAACUGACGCUGAGGGACGAAAGCGUGGGGAGCGAACA